rnacentral:rRNA from 1 species
AUUGAACGCUGGCGGCAGGCCUAACACAUGCAAGUCGAACGAGUGGCGGACGGGUGAGUAAUGUCUGGGAAACUGCCUGAUGGAGGGGGAUAACUACUGGAAACGGUAGCUAAUACCGCAUAACCUCAGAUGUGCCCAGAUGGGAGUUGCUAGUUGGUGGGGUAAAGGCUCACCUAGGCGACGAUCCCUAGCUGGUCUGAGUGGAUGACCAGCAACACUGGAACUGAGACACGGUACAGACACCUACUGGAGGCAGCAGUGGGGAAUAUGGCACAAUGGGCGCAAGCCUGAUGCAGCCAUGCCGCGUGUAUGAAGAAGGCCUUCGGGUUGUAAAGUACUUUCAGCGGGGAGGCGUUACCCGCAGAAGAAGCACCGGCUAACUCCGUGCCAGCAGCCGCGGUAAUUC